rnacentral:rRNA from 1 species
GACGAACGCUGGCGGCGUGCUUAACACAUGCAAGUCGAACGGUGAAGCUCUUCGGAGGGGGUCAGUGGCGAACGGGUGAGUAACACGUGGGCAAGCUGCCCCCGCCUCUGGGAUAGCUCCAAGUAAUUGAGGCUAAUACCGGAUGUUCACCGCUUCCCGCCUGGGAGGUGGUGAAAUGGGUAUCCGGCUGGGGAUGGGCCCGCGGCCGGUCAGCUUGUUGUUGUGGUAGUGGCCUACCAAGGCGACGACGGGUAGCCGGCCUGAGAGGGUGACCGGCCACACUGGGACUGAGACACGGCCCAGACUCCUACGGGAGGCAGCAGUGGGGAAUAUUGCGCAAUGGGCGGAAGCCUGACGCAGCGACGCCGCGUGGGGGAUGACGGCCUUCGGGUUGUAAACCGCUUUCAGCAGGGACGAAGCGCAAGUGACGGUACCUGCAGAAGAAGCACCGGCUAACUACGUG